ACUGUUAAGUGUUGUUUCGUUUUUUUAACUUCGUUCAAUUUUUUUUUAAAUAUGUCCAAAAAUGUAUUUGACAUAUUAAAUUUAAAAAAAAAGAAUGUUCCGACCGUCGAUAUUGACUAAGUCAGAAUUGAUUCUGCAUUAUUUGAAUCAUCUUCGACUGUACAUUCAGGCACGGUAAAACAAUAGAAUAAACAUUUACAGCAUAAUAAAUUGAUAAGUGAUUUGGGAACUUUAGACACAGGCCCUGUUCGUCCAUUGCUAAAAACUUAUCCAAAAACUAAUUUUGGUUCACAAAACUGAAGUUUUAACGAUAAAUACUAUUCAAAAUAUGAAUGGAUUGAAUAUAGUAUUGUGAAUUAUGCUAUUUUUUUUUUUUUGCUGUCGGCAUUAUUCUACCGGAAAAAGUGUACAAGAUGAUGUGUUUACAUUAACUGGGUUUAAAAAUUGGAAAAAAUUAACUGGAUCAAGAGGGAAA